GGGCUGGGGCUCAGUGGUAGAGUGCUCGCCUAGGAUGCACGAAGCACUGGGUUUGAUCCUCAGCACCACA
rnacentral:tRNA from 1 species